rnacentral:misc_RNA from 1 species
GCAAACUUGGUCAUUUAGAGGAAGUAAAAGUCGUAACAAGGUUUCCGUAGGUGAACCUGCGGAAGGAUCAUUAAUGAAUUGUGGCCUCGCCAAAUUCUCUCUCCAUCCGUGCUCUGUACCAGGUGCUUUGGCGGUACAACCUCUGCAAGCCAAAAGUGAUCGCACUCCAUAUUUCCUCUGCUUAAGGAGGGGGGAACGUCACAGACUUGGGGGAGGGCGUAUCGCCAAUGGAUUUAUAGACGCGUAAAUUUAUUUGUCUGGAUAUGCAUGAAUAAAAAAAGCAAAAAACUAUGAACAACGGAUCUCUAGGCUCUUGCAUCGAUGAAGAACGCAGC